GGGGGGGGGGGGGGGGGGGGGGGGGGGGGGGGGGGGGGGGGGGGGGGGGGGGGGGUGGCGGGGCGGGCGGGAGGGGCGGGCGGGUGGGUGGCGCGGGGGUGACCUCGCUAGGAGAGUGGGAGAACUUCGGGCGCCCGGAGCUAAUACCGGGGCAGCUCUUGGGCCGCAUGGUUCAAUAGUGAACGACGGUGUUGCUGUCGCUUAUCGAUGGCUCCGCGCCGCAUUAGCUAGUUGGUAAGGUAACGGCUUACCAAGGCAACGAUGCGUAGCCGACCUGAGCGGUGGAUCGGCCACACUGGAACUGAGACACGGUCCAGACUCCUACGGGAGGCAGCAGUAGGGAAUCUUCCGCAAUGGGCGAAAGCCUGACGGAGCAACGCCGCGUGAGUGAUGAAGGUCUUCGGAUCGUAAAACUCUGUUAUUAGGGAAGAACAAAUGUGUAAGUAACUAUGCACGCCUUGACGGUACCUAAUCAGAAAGCCACGGCUAACUACGUG
rnacentral:rRNA from 1 species